CCGCGCGCAGGAAGGCUCGAUCGCCGAUAUCGGCGGCGACAUGGUGGCCUACCACUUCCACGAGCCGCUCGGCGUCGUCGGCCAGAUCAUCCCGUGGAACUUCCCGCUGCUGAUGGCCGCGUGGAAGCUCGCGCCGGCGCUCGCGGCCGGCAACUGCGUCGUGCUCAAGCCGGCCGAGCAGACGCCCGCGUCGAUCCUCGUGUUCGCCGAGCUGAUCCAGGAUCUGCUGCCGCCCGGCGUGCUCAACAUCGUCAACGGCUUCGGCCUCGAGGCCGGCAAGCCGCUCGCGUCGAGCAAGCGGAUCGCGAAGAUCGCGUUCACGGGCGAGACGUCGACGGGCCGCCUCAUCAUGCAGUACGCGAGCGAGAACCUGAUUCCCGUCACGCUCGAGCUGGGCGGCAAGAGCCCGAAUAUUUUCUUCGCCGACGUGAUGGAUCGCGACGACAGCUACUUCGACAAGGCGCUCGAAGGCUUCGCGAUGUUCGCGCUGAACCAGGGCGAAGUCUGCACGUGCCCAUCGCGCGCGCUCGUCGAGGAGAGCAUCUACGAUCGCUUCAUCGAACGCGCGCUCAAGCGCGUCGAGGCGAUCAAGCAGGGCCAUCCGCUCGAUUCGCAGACGAUGAUCGGCGCGCAGGCGUCGGCCGAGCAGCUCGAGAAGAUCCUGUCGUACAUCGACAUCGGCCGCGGCGAAGGCGCGCAAUGCCUGACGGGCGGCGAGCGCAACGUGCUCGGCGGCGAGCUCGCCGAAGGCUAUUACGUGAAGCCGACCGUGUUCCGCGGCCACAACAAGAUGCGCAUCUUCCAGGAAGAAAUCUUCGGGCCGGUGCUCGCGGUGACGACGUUCAAGACCGAGGAGGAAGCGCUCGAGAUCGCGAACGACACGCUGUACGGCCUGGGCGCCGGCGUCUGGACGCGCGACGGCAACCGCGCGUACCGCUUCGGCCGCGGCAUCCAGGCGGGCCGCGUGUGGACGAACUGCUAUCACGCGUAUCCGGCGCACGCGGCGUUCGGCGGCUACAAGCAAUCCGGCAUCGGCCGCGAGACGCACAAGAUGAUGCUCGACCACUACCAGCAGACGAAGAACCUGCUCGUCAGCUACAGCGAAAAGCCGCUCGGGUUCUUCUGAUCGCGCGCGGCGCGGGGCGUUUGCGCGCAGCAUGAACGGCUUGGCCGGGCCCGGCGGAAUCGCGUGUCGAUGCGCGUCCGUCGGGCCUGACGAUUUCGGGGCCUUUCGAUUUCGGGGCCCUGUGCCUUCGGGGCCUCCGGACCCUUCCGCUUUCGCGGCCCUUCCCCCCCCCCACGCCCCUUCGCCGUCGAAGCAUGGCGCGCCGGCGUCGAAUCGGCCUAGCACGGCCGAAUCGACGCCAACCGGCAGGCGGCCGUCGCCGCCGUUCAACCGCACUCGCGAUCGAGCGCCAGCGCACGGCGCUCACGCGAGCGCGCCGGCUCGGCCGCCGGUUCGUCGUGCACGCGGCCCCGGCUCAGGAACACGAACGCGGCGAGCGCGCACAGCAGCGUGACGGCCGUCAGCCCCUCGAGCAGGCCGCCGAACGCAACGGCGUCGCUUUGCCGCAGCGCGUCGCGCGCGACGCCCGGCAGCAGCGCGGCCCGCGGCGGCAGAAUCGCCGAACACGCCAAUGCGCCGAAGCGGGCACGCGUCGCGCGCCGUCGCGACGCGCCGGCCGCCGCCCGGCGGGCGCCCGCUAUUCCUGCGCGGGCCCCGGCGCCAGACGCCGCGUUUGCGCCUGCGCGGCGGGCAGCAGCGCAUCGCUAUCGUCCUUGAGCCCGACGCCCGUGAUCCCGAGCCGCCGCGCGUGCGUCAGCAGGUAGUGCAGCUUGUGCGCGGCCGCAUCGUGCGGCAGCCCCUCUGGCCGCACGUUCGAGAUGCAGUUGCGCUGCGCGUCGUGACAACCGACCUUCGGCGCAUACGUCAGAUACACGCCGAGGCUGUCCGGCGAGCUCAGGCCGGGCCGCUCGCCGAUCAGCACCGCGACGAGGCGCGCGCCGAGCAGCUCGCCGAUCUCGUCGCCGAGCGCGACGCGCGCCUGCCGCGCGACGACGACGGGCCCCACCCGCCAGCCGUCGAGCUUCGGCCGCAUCGCGUUCAGCAGCGGCAGCGCCUGCUUCGCGGCCGCGAACGCCGACAGCCCGUCGCCGACGACGAACACCAGGUCCGGCGCUUCGCCGAGCGCCGCGCCGUGCGCGGCGAGCAGCGCGCGGCUGUCGUCCGCGAGCCGGCGGCCGAGAUCCGGCCGCCGCAGGUAAUGCUGGCGGUCCGGCGCGGCGCUUUGCACGCCGAGCGUCGGCAGCCCCGCCGCUUCGAUGUCGCGGCGCAGCGCAUCGGCAUCGAGCGGCUGAUGGACGGCAUCGCGCGCCUGCGCAUGCGACAGGUUGAACGCGAGCAGCGGCGCGGUCGGCAGGCUGUUGCCCGCGCGGCCGAGCGCGAUCCGUGCGUUCGUGAACGAUUUCAGCUGUCCCCACGGAUUCUUUUCGACCCCGUCGCUCAUGCGCAGCGCCCCAUCCAGUCGUUCGCGCCGGCGAGCAGCGGCACGCGCGCCGACGCGGCGCGCAGCGCGCCAUGCGCGUCCGUGAUCUCCAUCGUCUCCAGCCACUCCUCGAACUCGGGCGCGCGGCGCAGGCCGAGCACUUCGCGCACGUAGAGCUGAUCGUGGAACGACGUGCUCUGGUAGUUCAGCAUCACGUCGUCCGCGCCGGGAAUGCCCAUGAUGAAGUUGAUGCCCGCCGCGCCGAGCAGCGUGAGCAGGUUGUCCAUGUCGUCCUGAUCGGCUUGCGCGUGGUUCGUGUAGCAGAUGUCGCAGCCCAUCGGCACGCCGAGCAGCUUGCCGCAG
rnacentral:rRNA from 2 species